rnacentral:lncRNA from 1 species
UCCAUUGUCAUUUAGGUGAGCUGAGCCAUAAUUUUAAUUCAUCAGAAGUUAUGGCAGUCCAUGCAUUCUAGUUUUAUAACAUUAAUUGAAGACUAUUGGUGUUAAAAGGUGGUCCAGUCGGUGUUCUUUCUUUGAUCAUUAGCUUGUUGAGGCUCUGCAUUAGACUCUAUUGGAUCAAGACAUGGCCCUCUCAGGAACCUAGCUUGUGCCUAGUUUUGGCCUCAGGGCACAUGCAGCUCUGCAAGAUCAACUCCACCCUGGCUUAAUCUUAUCAAAAGGGCAGAUAAGAAGCUUUCAGAGGACAGGGAAGCUCAAGCUCCAACACCCCUCCCCCAGACUCCACUGAGAACCUGCUGACUAAACUCCAAGGGUGAAGGUUACAAUUACUACAGAACACCUUAAUAACAAGGUGGGAGGUACAGCUCCUUUUUAGCUUCUGCAGACAGCUGGGGAUGAUCUGGUGUCAGGGCUCUCACCCUCACAAAUCAGCAGAGCAAAG